AUGCAUUGCCAGUUUAAGCACCUUAACGUUCUGUUUCCUUUAGCUCUCAACCUCUUAACAACCUUCUCACUCCGGACCCCGGUGACAUACAGGGAGGUGUCCAAGAUGGCCACUGGGACAUCGUUGGUCGGGAUCAACAUCCGCUUUGAAGGGACACGGAGGAGCCACAGAAGUAUUUUCACCAAAGAUUUCUCUCAAGGCCCUGGAGAGCAUGGAUUAGAGAAAAGGAGAGGCACGUCCAACUGCGCGCUAAUUAAAGUGGUCCAGGCUCCUAUGAAUCAGCUGACAGUCGUCACCUGGAUGAGGUCAGAGUGGUCACAGGUACUCCGGCCCCUGAAAUCAGGGCUCUGUCUGACUUGAAGCAGUCAUUCAUCUCUUUGAACUUCAGUUUCUCAAGAUGAGAAUGGAAAUGAAGACACUUACCCCCUGGAAGCAAUGUCCUGACGUGCCGGCCAUCAGCUUAGAAAUCUGUGUUUGCUUAUGUGCGCGAUCAAGGCAAAUGUAACCUGCCCUUUCCGCCAACUCUGCUGAGGUUGCUUUUACAACUAUGACUGGUAGUUAGGUUUACUCUUCAAUUGCUUUAUUUAAACUCGCAU
rnacentral:lncRNA from 1 species